rnacentral:rRNA from 1 species
GCGGGUGCUAAUACAUGCAAGUCGAGCGGACAGAUGGGAGCUUGCUCCCUGAUGUUAGCGGCGGACGGGUGAGUAACACGUGGGUAACCUGCCUGUAAGACUGGGAUAACUCCGGGAAACCGGGGCUAAUACCGGAUGCUUGUUUGAACCGCAUGGUUCAGACAUAAAAGGUGGCUUCGGCUACCACUUACAGAUGGACCCGCGGCGCAUUAGCUAGUUGGUGAGGUAACGGCUCACCAAGGCGACGAUGCGUAGCCGACCUGAGAGGGUGAUCGGCCACACUGGGACUGAGACACGGCCCAGACUCCUACGGGAGGCAGCAGUAGGGAAUCUUCCGCAAUGGACGAAAGUCUGACGGAGCAACGCCGCGUGAGUGAUGAAGGUUUUCGGAUCGUAAAGCUCUGUUGUUAGGGAAGAACAAGUGCCGUUCAAAUAGGGCGGCACCUUGACGGUACCUAACCAGAAAGCCACGGCUAACUACGUGCCAGCAGCCGCGGUAAUACGUAGGUGGCAAGCGUUGUCCGGAAUUAUUGGGCGUAAAGGGCUCGCAGGCGGUUUCUUAAGUCUGAUGUGAAAGCCCCCGGCUCAACCGGGGAGGGUCAUUGGAAACUGGGGAACUUGAGUGCAGAAGAGGAGAGUGGAAUUCCACGUGUAGCGGUGAAAUGCGUAGAGAUGUGGAGGAACACCAGUGGCGAAGGCGACUCUCUGGUCUGUAACUGACGCUGAGGAGC